rnacentral:rRNA from 1 species
GCCCGUCACACCAUGGGAGUGGGUUGCACCAGAAGUAGAUAGCUUAACCUUCGGGAGGGCGUUUACCACGGUGUGAUUCAUGACUGGGGUGAAGUCGUAACAAGGUAACCCUAGGGGAACCUGGGGUUGGAUCACCUCCUUACCUUAAUGA